UGGAAACGACUGCUAAGACUGGAUAGGAGACAAGAAGGCAUCUUCUUGUUUUUAAAAGACCUAGCAAUAGGUAUGCUUAGGGAGGAGCUUGCGUCACAUUAGUUAGUUGGUGGGGUAAAGGCCUACCAAGACUAUGAUGUGUAGCCGGGCUGAGAGGUUGAACGGCCACAUUGGGACUGAGACACGGCCCAAACUCCUACGGGAGGCAGCAGUAGGGAAUUUUCGGCAAUGGAGGAAACUCUGACCGAGCAACGCCGCGUGAACGAUGAAGUAUUUCGGUACGUAAAGUUCUUUUAUUAGGGAAGAAUAAAUGAUGGAAAAAUCAUUCUGACGGUACCUAAUGAAUAAGCCCCGGCUAACUAUGUGCCAGCAGCCGCGGUAAUACAUAGGGGGCAAGCGUUAUCCGGAAUUAUUGGGCGUAAAGGGUGCGUAGGCGGUUAAAUAAGUUUAUGGUCUAAGUGCAAUGCUCAACAUUGUGAUGCUAUAAAAACUGUUUAGCUAGAGUAAGAUAGAGGCAAGUGGAAUUCCAUGUGUAGUGGUAAAAUGCGUAAAUAUAUGGAGGAACACCAGUAGCGAAGGCGGCUUGCUGGGUCUUUACUGACGCUGAGGCACGAAAGCGUGGGGAGCAAACAGGAUUAGAUACCCUGGUAGUCCACGCCGUAAACGAUGAGUACUAAACGUUGGUUAAAACCAGUGUUGAAGUUAACACAUUAAGUACUCCGCCUGAGUAGUACGUACGCAAGUAUGAAACUUAAAGGAAUUGACGGGACUCCGCACAAGCGGUGGAUCAUGUUGUUUAAUUCGAAAGGUACCCGAAAAACCUCACCAGGUCUUGACAUGCUUCUGCAAAGCUGUAGAAACACAGUGGAGGUUAUCAGUUGCACAGGUGGUGCAUGGUUGUCGUCAGCUCGUGUCGUGAGAUGUUGGGUUAAGUCCCGCAACGAGCGCAACCCUUAUUGUUAGUUACCAGCACGUAAUGGUGGGGACUUUAGCAAGACUGCCAGUGAUAAAUUGGAGGAAGGUGGGGACGACGUCAAAUCAUCAUGCCCCUUAUGACCUGGGCUACAAACGUGAUACAAUGGCUGUUACAAAGGGUAGCUGAAGCGCAAGUUUUUGGCGAAUCUCAAAAAAACAGUCUCAGUUCGGAUUGAAGUCUGCAACUCGACUUCAUGAAGUUGGAAUCGCUAGUAAUCGCGAAUCAGCAUGUCGCGGUGAAUACGUUCUCGGGGUUUGUACACACCGCCCGUCAAAC
rnacentral:rRNA from 1 species